rnacentral:lncRNA from 1 species
GGGAGACACCAUGACAAGGACGCCCGGACAACCUGGGGCCAUCACAGACGGACUCACACAGGAACAGCCUGCAACACGGUUUCGGAAAGCACCCUCCUCCAAAGGCAGAGGCACAUUCCUUUGAUUGGCACAAGCUAUUUCUGACAAUGGAUCUGCGAUGACAGGGGCUCUCGGCAAUCAGGAAGUGUGUGUGUGUGUGUGUGUGUGCGUGUUGUGGGGGAGGGAUGUGUUAGAUGUGAUCAAAGACUGGCCUGCUGAAAAGAAGAGAAUAUGGGAUCUUAAAGCCUGGAGGCAGACUUGGAGGAGAGCAGUGUGAACGACAGAGGACAGAAAUAAAAGAGGCAACAUGCAAGUAGUAGUGG